CCUACGGGAGGCAGCAGUGGGGAAUAUUGGGCAAUGGGCGCAAGUCUGACCCAGCAAAGCCGCGUGCAGGAAGAAGGCUCUCGGGUUUUAAACUUGCUUUUAGUUGGGAGAGCAGAAGACGUUACCACUUGAAUAAUCUAUGUCUAACGACGUACCAGCAGCCCCGGUAAUACGGAGGUGGCAAGCGUUGUCCGGAUUUACUGGGCGUAAAGGGCGUGCAGCCGGGAAGACAAGUCAGCUGUGAAAUCCCGCGGCUCAACCGCGGAACUGCAGUUGAAACUGUAUUCCUUGAGUACAGAAGAGGUCAUCGGAAUUCCUUGUGUAGCGGUGAAAUGCGUAGAUAUAAGGAAGAACACCAGUGGCGAAGGCAGAUGACUGGACGGCAACUGACGGUGAGGCGCGAAAGCGUGGGGAGCAAACAGGAUUAGAUACCCUAGUAGUC
rnacentral:rRNA from 1 species